AUGAACGCUGGCGGCGUGCCUAAUACAUGCACGUCGAGCGAACAGACGAGGAGCUUGCUCCUCUGCCGUUAGCGGCGGACGGGUGAGUAACACGUGGAUAACCUACCUACAAGACUGGGAUAACUUCGGGAAACCGGAGCUAAUACCGGAUAAUAUAUUUAACCGCAUGGUUCAAUAGUGAAAGUCGGUUUUGCUGUCACUUAUAGAUGGAUCCGCGCCGCAUUAGCUAGUUGGUAAGGUAACGGCUUACCAAGGCAACGAUGCGUAGCCGACCUGAGAGGGUGAUCGGCCACACUGGAACUGAGACACGGUCCAGAGUCCUAAGAGAGGCAGCAGUAGGGAAUCUUCCGCAAUGGGCGAAAGCCUGACGGAGCAAGGCCGCGUGAGUGAUGAAGGUCUUCGGAUCGUAAAACUCUGUUAUUAGGGAAGAACAAAUGUGUAAGUAACUAUGCACGUCUUGACGGUACCUAAUCAGAAAGCCACGGCUAACUACGUG
rnacentral:rRNA from 1 species